UGCUGGCGGCCCCAACCUCGA
rnacentral:misc_RNA from 1 species